AGCUGGUUGACAGCUCGCUGUAAUCAUAGUAAUUCACCGAACAGGAGCUACACAGCAGCAGGGCGCGCUUCUCGUACAUCCCAAACCCACAUUUCACCAAGUUUAUCCAUUCCGGUUCAGGCAUUUGUCUCACCAAUAUUAAUUCCGCAUUUACUAACUCCUGCUCAACAAGCUUCAGUUGAAGGAACUGGUGAAGGAGUGGAGGCUGACAGCAGCUGACGGAGGUCAGUGUGUUGUGACCGCCCUGCUGCUGUUAAUGACGGGCCUAUAAACUGGCGACAGAUCUAUUCUGGACCGAGAAGCGAGAGACAGAGCCUCUGCCCCGUGAAUCUGAGAGGAAGGCUGCACAUGAGACACCCAGCAUGAGGCUGUGGGGUUUGUCUGUACCUCCUCCAAACGGCGCCCAGAUGACCCGCCGUAUGGCCUUGACCCAGUCAUCCAUGUCUGUCUGGGAGUUUGCCAUAAGCAGGAAGGACUCAUGGCUGAUCGGUGCGCGGUCCUUCUCUCCUGUUCCACCUAAAGGAGACAAUGAGGGGCAUAAAAUGAGAAAAUUAAGAAUUGAGAUAAGAGCUGUUUUUAGCUAUAUGCAUCAAGUACCAAUGGUCUCCUUUGUUAUAACCUUACAUGAAGAGUAAUGUGUUUGUAUCAUCUUGCAAAGGGAAUUAUGAUACAUACAAGUACUAACAAACUGAAAUGGAUCCCUAAAUCAAGAUAUGGAGGACAAAUCAAAGAUGUAUCUUGUGAAAAAUUCUAAGAUCGUGGGUUCAGUGGAUAUAGAUGGUUUUGAGUGUACACAUUAAAGGACAAAACAGGUCAG